UUCUUCAGUUUUUGGUUUUUCCAAGCAUAUUAUUUUCUUAGCUGAAAAUUACAUUUUUGAGUAGAAUUGGAAUUGGCAAGAUUUUGGUGGAAUUAAGGAGUGGCAGAGGGUGAAGAAGACUGAAUCAAAAUUCAAAUAAAUGAUGUCAUUGGAAGGAGUGGCCAUAAUCAUACGAAGCCAUAUUUUGCUCGGUUUCCCCAUGCUCCACCAGGUGCUGUUCUUCCUAUCAAAGAUAUUGUUCUUUGUGCUCAUGAUGUUGGUGCAAAAGUCUUUGUAGAUGCAUGUCAAGAGUGUUCCACAUAUGGUGGUUGAUGUGCAGAAUUUUUUUAAUUUUUUUAAAUUUUUUAAAAGAGAAAACUUCUAUUCCCACCGAAAAACUUCAAUCUUUCACUAAGCAGAGCACCACAGGACUCAAAAUUCUUCCAUGAUUGAUAAACAUGCCUCCCUAAAUAACCGAUUCACGACGAAGAAACUAAUGAACGCUGACUUUCUUGUUGCUUCUUCUCACAAGGUUAGGAUACUGCCUUAUGUACUGUAACCUAGCCUUAUGGGCAAGGCAAGUAUAUGAAGCAAAUAAUAAACAUGCCUCAGAUGUGUGGGCCUACAGCCUACAGGCGUCGGAUUCUUAUGUGGAAAGAGAGAGUGAUCUCUUGUCCGCCAUGCCUCCAUUUUUAGGUAAGCUUCUUAUUUAAAAGUUGUCUUUUGAAAGUUCAUUUGCUUUUUUAUAUCUCUAUCUAAGACAGCAAUGGCUUCUGAGUAAUUUGAAGUUGACUGUAAUGUUUCACCUCUCUUUCUAGGUUGGUGAAUUCGCCUACCUCGAAAACUUUAUGUUUAAAUUAAAUGCAAUGAUAACAGCAGCUUGAAGUUAUUGUCCGAAUUAUCUCUGUGUUUAAUUGUCACCUUGAUAGAUGAAUUUGAAUACAAGAAGUCCUGCUCUCAAGAAAAUCAAGACUAGAAGAUGCUUAUGGAAGUAGAAAUGAAGUAGUAAAGUAGGUUAUAUGCAAGUGCACACAAAUAUUCUUGCUGCGCUCUGCAUUUGGCCUUGUUUUUUUGAUAAAUCAUAUGUUCUGAUCUCGUUUCCCAUUACCUUAAUGGAAUGUCAGUUUUUUCCUUAUCCGAUGAAAUUUUUAGCUUUUUCUUGAAGCAGAUCACUCUUUAUGAGCAUGGUUGCUCAUAGGCACAUUUUAUUCGUGCUCUUAUCUUGUCAAGCUUGAUUCCUUUAUCUACAUUAAAUAUACACUGAUUUGUGCCACCUUCUGAUAUGUCCUUUUGUAAUUGUCCCUCAUUGUCUAAGCUAGAUUUGAGGCGCUGGAACACCAGCAAUUGGAUUAGGAGCAGCUACUGAUUAUCUAUCAGGAUUUGGUAUGUAAAAAAUACAUGAUUAUGAGGGCUAGUAACAUUUAAGACUCCGAAGGGCAGAAAGGCGAAUCGCAUAUUCCAUUCCAAACUUCAUUUCGUCCUUGAUAUUCGCAUUUAUGGUCCAGCCCCCUCGGAACACGUCUUCUCCGCUGCUCUGUGUUCUUUCAACGUCGAAAAUAUACACCCUACA